GUCUCCGUAGCCAUAGUCGGUAGAGCACCCGACUAUGAUGCGGUAGAACUCGGGUUCGAGCCCCGCUGAAGGCA